AAUCAAACNUAUUUAAGAAAAUAUAUUCAAAUUUAAGUCAUGUAAAUGCUUCAUUAAUGAGCUAUGUAAAUGCUCCAUUAAUGUAGAGAAAGAAAGAAAAAGAUUGUUAAGGAUAGUGGGGGAGGUGUACAGUAUUUUUGGAAUAAAAGAUAAUAGUGGGGAGGUGUAGAAUAUUUUUGAAAUAAAUUAAAUUAAUAGAGAGGUACAGGUCCCACUUGGGGAGGUGUAAGGAGCAACACCCGGAACUUAAUUACUGAUUUCAGUGAUUAUAUAGUUAGAAUUGUCAACUUGACUCAUGAUCCAUUAAGUCAGCCUUAAACCAUUUUUGAAAAAGUCCACCUUUUAAAAACUUCUCAAGUGGAGGCAAAAAAAAAUCUCAACUCCCAUAAUUCCCUAUCAAGUAGAUUAGAGUUAAGGUUAAAGUAAAUUUAGUCCUACUAUAAAAUUC
rnacentral:lncRNA from 1 species